CCUUUUUUAUAAUCGCUGUCUAAGGAAAAAAAAUAAAAUAAAAUAAAAACUCCGUUGUCGCUUUCUUCGAAAUUAGGGUUUCAAAAUUUUCCCCAAAAAAUUUGGGCUCGCAAGCUAACUUUCUGGAUUCUGUCUUUUAUUAUCGUUCUGGCGAUCGAGGGUUAGGAAGAGCUGAAAGGGCAAGUAGAAAGCCACGAGUUCCUUACCUAACUCCUUAAGGACUCAUCGACUUUUUCAAGCUUCAUUUUUUUAUUGGCUCGUUUACGAGAUAAGAGGAUCAGAUUCCACGGUUUAUGCCUCUGGUUGUUUUCCGUAAGCUUUGUGGGCAAGAUGAUCUGGAGGAUAAUAUUUUAACAAAUAGAUGUGCUGAAAAGUUAUGAGAUUGUAUUUUGUAGAUGUUGUUAACAGUUGUGUUCUUUAUACUAGACGAGUUCAAGCAAAACCUUUUUGCUUAAAGGGUUAAGAUGACAUCUACAUAUUUUUCAAGAUUAAGAUCUGCAAUACAGAAUGAAAUUUCAAGGUCAAUCACAGGGCAAGAUUGUAGGCUCCACGAUUUUACUGAAAUUCUAGUGGGCCAAGCAAAGUCUCAGUUUUACAGUUAUAGAUUAUUUCAUUCUGCAGACAUACAUGCACUCUUGAGACCUGGUACUGUUUUUGCUGCUCAGUCUGACUUGCAAUUAGUUAAUCGUAGAAGGAAUAUCUCUGUUGUUAGAGCACUUUCUCGAACAUUUUCUGUACCAUCUGUAUCAGGCCCUUCAUUUCAGGUUUGCGGGUAUCACAUCGACCGUGCCCUUUGUGAUAAUAGUCAAACAUCAGUCAGUGGGAAGUUGCAGAAUAAGUGGAUGGCUGCUUGUACAUCCAGAGCUAUAAUUGGUGAAUGUUUUUGGGAGAAUCUAAUUUCAAGGGGUGGGCAUCUUUCAUUUUCAACUCCCAAUUCCAGCAUCUAUUGUGCCAAUAGGAAUUCCCAUAGUUACAGAAAUGUCACCAUGAGUUUGAAUAACAGAGGGCAAUCUACCAAUUCUUCUAUCUAUGGAUUUGUUGUCUAUAAUGUCUUGAAGAAAUGUUGCGACUUUUCUCCAUAUAUGGAGAUAGGAGCUAGAUAUUUCCAUGGCUCAUCUCCUUCAUGUUUGUCAGCUGGAAUUGCUCCUGAUGUGACAUUUGAGAAUUCUGCCCGUGAUGAACAGCUUGAAAAUUCUGCAGGUUCCUCAGAACAGAAGAGAUCUGCCGGCAAAACACUGAAGCUAAUCUCAGGAUCUUGCUACCUGCCCCAUCCUGAUAAGGAAGAAACUGGGGGAGAGGAUGCUCAUUUCAUUUGUUCAGAUGAACAAGCAAUAGGUGUAGCUGAUGGUGUUGGUGGUUGGGCAGAUCUUGGUGUUGAUGCAGGGCAGUACUCUCGUGAACUUAUGUCUAAUUCAGUAACUGCAAUUCAAGAGGAGCCCAAAGGUUUAAUUGAUCCAGCGAGGGUCUUGGAGAAAGCUUACUCUAGCACAAAAGCCAGGGGUUCCUCAACAGCAUGUAUAAUAGCGCUCACAGAUGAGGGCCUCCACGCUAUCAAUUUAGGAGAUAGUGGGUUUAUAGUGGUUCGAGAUGGUUGCACUGUAUUCCGCUCUCCUGUGCAGCAGCAUGAUUUUAAUUUCACCUAUCAACUUGAGAGUGGAAACAAUGGUGAUCUACCUAGCUCUGGUCAGGUUUUCACUAUUGCUGUCGCUCCUGGAGAUGUAAUUGUUGCUGGAACAGAUGGUUUGUUUGACAACUUGUACAACAAUGAGAUUACUGCAGUGGUGGUGCAUGCCACAAGAGCUGGUUUAGGGCCGCAGGUGACAGCUCAGAAAAUAGCUGCACUGGCACGACAAAGAGCACAAGAUAAAGACAGACAAACCCCAUUUUCCACUGCUGCCCAGGAUGCUGGAUUUCGCUAUUAUGGUGGCAAGCUUGAUGACAUUACUGUUGUUGUUUCAUAUAUUACCAGCUCUGAAGAUGUUAGCAUGAUUGCCAGUAAGCCCUAGAGAAUACGCACAGCUAUAGAUUCCUUUUCACCUAAAACUCAAUGUUGCAUGCUCAUCGCUGUCCAUUGCUCAGUCUCCAAGAACAUCAAUCUUCUUAAUUAUUUAUCCCCUUUAAGGAUUUGCAUGGAUCCAGUUUUGUUAAUAUCUAAAUCAGUUUGAAUGGUGUGGGCAUCGGAUUUUGUUGAGCUUGAACGUUGAUCUGAGGUGCUGUUUACAGUCAAAAAGUACAGUUUAUGUAAAUAUUUACUUCCACUUUUCUACUAUUGUUUUUCCAUUAAAGACAACAGACGGGCUUGCUGACCCGUGUGCAAUUACAGCUACGGCCUACGGGAAUAGUUGAAUUAAUUUGAUAAUAGUUCUUAAGUCAUUUUGAUCA